UACGGAGGGUGCAAGCGUUGUUCGGAAUUACUGGGCGUAAAGCGCGCGUAGGCGGCUUUGUAAGUUGGAAGUGAAAUCCCGAGGCUUAACUUCGGAAUUGCUUUCAAAACUACAAAGCUAGAGUAUGGCAGGGGACAGUGGAAUUCUUAGUGUAGAGGUGAAAUUCGUAGAUAUUAAGAGGAACACCAGUGGCGAAAGUGACUGUCUGGACCAUUACUGACGCUGAGGCGCGAAAGCGUGGGGAGCAAACAGG
rnacentral:rRNA from 1 species